CACCGUGUGGUCCUCAGAAGGGCAGCAUCAGCACCACCUGGGAGCCUGUUAGAAACACGGAGUCUUGGGCCCCACCCCAGAGCUACCAAAUCAGAAUCUGCAUCUUAACAAGAUUUCCAGGUGAUUUAUAUGCAUGUUUACAUUUAAGAAGUAGUGUUAGUGGAAAGAACACUG